GUUUGGUUUUUAUGGCUGGAACACCCUUUAAGGAUGGCAGAGACUUUAGCUCUUGAGACCUGGAUAUUCCACGGACAACUUCUCACAGAGGAAGAGUGACCUCAUCUCCUCACUAUAAGUUACCAGCUGUCAUUCAUGCUCCGAAAACAGGAAGUGGAAAAAAUCCUAGAAGAAAAUUCUUUGAAGAUUCCUCACACACCUAUGGAUUGGAAUUUGACUAGUGAAAACAAAAAGAGUUUUCACAAUUGAUUUCAUGCAUAUUCCUUAUACUAUUAAUUAUGAUGAUUAAUUAUCAUUUAAGAGUUUUUUUCCUCUGAUGUAUCACCUGGAAUAAGAAACUAACUUUUAUCCUUUAAUUCAUUCUGAGAUGAUAAGAUGCUGUGCAAGCCUCUAUGUUUAUAAAAAACAAAUAUCA